rnacentral:rRNA from 1 species
UACAGAGGUGGCAAGCGUUGUUCGGAUUUAUUGGGCGUAAAGGGUCCGUAGGUUGUCCGGAAAGUUGGAUGUGAAAUCCUACAGCUUAACUGUAGAAUUGCAUUCAAAACUCCCGGACUUGAGUAUGAGAGGGGUAAAGGGAAUUCCCGGUGUAAGGGUGAAAUCUGCAGAGAUCGGGAAGAACACCAGUCGCGAAGGCGCUUUACUGGCUCAUUACUGACACUGAGGGACGAAAGCUAGGGGAGCAAACGGG